rnacentral:rRNA from 1 species
GACGAACGCUGGCGGCGUGCUUAACACAUGCAAGUCGAACGGAAAGGCCUAGCUUGCUGGGUACUCGAGUGGCGAACGGGUGAGUAACACGUGGGUGAUCUGCCCCUGACUUUGGGAUAAGCCUGGGAAACUGGGUCUAAUACCGGAUAUUCAUUUUUCCUCGCAUGGGGAUUUGUGGAAAGCUUUUGCGGUUGGGGAUGGGCCCGCGGCCUAUCAGCUUGUUGGUGGGGUAAUGGCCUACCAAGGCGACGACGGGUAGCCGACCUGAGAGGGUGAUCGGCCACACUGGGACUGAGACACGGCCCAGACUCCUACGGGAGGCAGCAGUGGGGAAUAUUGCACAAUGGGCGCAAGCCUGGUGCAGCGACGCCGCGUGAGGGAUGACGGCCUUCGGGUUGUAAACCUCUUUCAGCUCCGACGAAGCGCAAGUGACGGUAGGAGCAGAAGAAGCACCGGCCAACUACGUG